UCUCACCCUAAACCCACACACACAACACCUCUCUUUCAUGGUCUCUCUCUCCAUCUCUCUCUUUUAUCCCUAUAUAUUUUGAAUCUUUUCUCUCUUAGCCCUGCUGCCCUUCCCUUCUCUUUACAAACCUUGCUAGGGUUUGUUUAUGGAGGGCUUUGAAGCUCCUAAAAUACUUUAAUCUAAGUUUUGUGGUGGUCUAUAUGUGACCCUCUUGGUAUUCUUCCACAGCUUUCUUGAACUGCACCUAUUUGAAUAUUGUUGUUGAUGUUGCCGUGCAUGUACAUAUGACAUUGUAUUUUUGUUGCGGUUCAAUAAAGCUGUGGGAAGAUACAAACAGGAUCAAAGAAAGUUAAUGUUUCUUCAUCGGGCCCUGCAUCAAUGAUCAGUGUAUAAGGUCUCUGAUCUUUUUCUUUUUGCUUGAUAUACGAUCUCUUGGAUCUAGUUGAUUUUAGGGUUUUUGUGAAAACAAAUUGUGUGAUGUUAAUUGAUGCUUGCAAAUAUUCAUGAUGACUUCGACAAUCUCUUGUUUCUUGCAAGUUUCAUGCUUUGAAGGAGAACAAGAAGGGGUGGAUGAAUUAUCUUUCAGUCUUGCUACUCAAAGGGUUUUCCAUUCUUGAAUGAAAAUGGCAUUUCUGAUCCACCUAUAUGGAAGGAACAAGAUUUCUUUAAUAUUUAUUCGUGUUUAAAGGAUAUUCACAGAGUAUCUUGGACGCAUAGCUUCCUUCCAACAGUGUCCUUCCAUUUGUACUUGCAUCAAAAGGAGACCACACAAAGAUAGAUUUAUUUGGCAUACAUAUACUCUUCACGAAUCAUUCUUUUUUACUUCAGAUUCCUGUCCCUGUUUAAUAACUUUUGAUGACAAGUAAGAUUUUGGAUUUUUUUAGUUGAUUUUACAGCACAGUAGUAGUGUUUUAGAUUCACUAGGUAAAAAUCUUGUACUGAUAAUACUAUUAGUUUACAAGGCCAUAUACUUUGAUCGCCCACUAUAAUGUGUUUGUACCGUGUCGGUUGAUGCAGUAAUAGUCAAUUGCAGUCUUUUUUUUUUUUUUUGUAUACAUCCGAUCUGAAGAUUCCUUUUCAUGACGAGGGUGAUAUGUAGUCUGUUGUUGAUUUGCCUCGCUGUUUUUUGUUCAAAUAUAAAUUAAGCUUUACUGUGUAUAAA